UACGGAGGGUGCAAGCGUUAUCCGGAUUCACUGGGUUUAAAGGGUGCGUAGGUGGAAUGGUAAGUCAGUGGUGAAAUCUCCAAGCUUAACUUGGAAACUGCCGUUGAUACUAUCAUUCUUGAAUAUCGUGGAGGUGAGCGGAAUAUGUCAUGUAGCGGUGAAAUGCUUAGAUAUGACACAGAACACCGAUUGCGAAGGCAGCUCGCUAAACUGUGAUUGACGCUGAGGCACGAAAGCGUGGGGAUCAAACAGG
rnacentral:rRNA from 1 species